rnacentral:lncRNA from 1 species
AUGCAGAUGGAAAUAUGUUAUCAAUCAUUUUCAGCACAGUGUAUGAGUCCCAGAGCACAACAAGAUGAACACAGACAGGCACUGUGGUGGUCAGCAGCUGUAUUACAGCCAGCUCUAUCGUGUAAGAAGAAUGACACCUGUGAUCACCAAAGGGCAGGUUCUGUGCCUAGCUGGGAGGAGGAGGAGGAGGAAGAGAAGAACUCCUUUCUGUGUGAGUUUGGAAGGAGCAACCUGCUGGCUUCCAGGGGUCACAUAGAAGACCUGCAGACUUGGAGAAUGCUGCAUGGGUGAGUGGUACUUAGCUGGAAUAGCACGAUUUGGGGCAUCCUGCCUGAAAGUGGACGAUAGCAGUGAAUCUUGACAUCUUGCUCUCUUCCUUCCCCAAUCACAGAGGCCCAAGAGCCAAAAACCUCCCUUUUCUGAUGCAGCCCAGUCCUAUCAGCUCAGAAUAGAGUGAAUAGCCCUCCCUAUUGCCCUACUCACACAUUCCUUAAUAAUCUUGUUUUAUCUUUAUUUCUGGCUACUGGGAAGGAGCAGGACAAUGAGUUGUUAAGCAACAAGGAGAGGACUGGGGCACAGAGUGGAGACCUUUGCUGAAUGGAAGGAGCAGCUGCUGAAAAGAAAUUCCAGCAGCCUCUUUAGCAGGAACAGGACAUGCAGGAAAGCAGUAGGAGUUGGAUCAGUCUAUCCUCACCUCCUCUGGCAUAGGGAAAGAUCCUUCUCUCCUGUGCUUUGACCAAACUCUGUUAAAUAUCUGUUUUCAGCAAUGAAGAAAAACUAAGAAGCAUAAGAUAUAUCUUUGUUGUUUCUUUAGAGGAAAGAGAGUGAUUUGGCUUUUUAAUGAGUUUAGGCUUUUAUGUUUGAAAAAUUAACUUCUUAUACUCACUUCUAGUAAUUUCAUUGUCUGAAAUUUAAGAAACAAAUAAAAAAAUACAAAAAAUAAAAAGGGAAAAAAAA